UGCCAGCAGCCGCGGUAAUACGGAGGGGGCUAGCGUUGUUCGGAAUUACUGGGCGUAAAGCGCACGUAGGCGGACUAUUAAGUCAGGGGUGAAAUCCCGGGGCUCAACCCCGGAACUGCCUCUGAUACUGGAUAGCUUGAGUACUGGAGAGGGUAGUGGAAUUCCCAGUGUAGAGGUGAAAUUCGUAGAUAUUGGGAAGAACACCAGCGGCGAAGGCGGCUACCUGGACAGAUACUGACGCUGAGGUGCGAAAGCGUGGGGAGCAAACAGGAUUAGAUA
rnacentral:rRNA from 1 species